rnacentral:rRNA from 1 species
UACGUAGGUGGCGAGCGUUGUCCGGAUUUAUUGGGUUUAAAGGGUGCGUAGGCGGCCCUGUAAAGUCAGUGCCUCGAAAUACCCCGGCUUAACCGGGGGGGUGGCAUUGAUAGCUGCAGGGCUUGAGUACAGAUGAGGUAGGCGGAAUUGACGGUGUAGCGGUGAAAUGCAUAGAUAUCCGUCAAGAACACCGAUAGCGAAAGGCAGCUUACUGGGCUGUAACUGACGCUGAUGCACGAAAGUGUGGGGAUCAAACAGG